rnacentral:misc_RNA from 1 species
GAAGAAGAAGACGAAGAAAGAAACCCAUGUGAGUAACAGCCAUUAUGGAAUGGCAAAUAAUGGCUGUUACACCUGCAUUUUUUGUCCUCUUGCCUGUAUAUAAUGAUAGGUAAUGGAGCUCUUCAAAACCUUCAAAUAAUGGCCGUUAUGUUACAUAAUGACCCGUGAUGGAGCCAAGAUUUAUUUUUAGGUGGGGCCAAAGCAAUACUUAAUAUGUAUCUAUAUUUAUAAUAUUUUUUUAUCCAUAAAAAUGCAUGUGAUAUAUUAAAUGUCAACAUAAACAACAUAAACUUAAUAUUUUAAAUCAAGACAUCACAAAUUGAAAUAGGUAAAUAGCCUAGUAAAAUAUAAAAAUAUUUAAUUUUAGGGGGCAAUUUAAUUUUAAAACUAAACAGCAUACUAAAAUUAUAUUUUUCACAAAGUUAGGGGGCCAAUUUAAUUUUAAAUCCAUAACCCCCAGCCCCCCAUCCCUCUGUCACUGGUAAUGAUUGUUAUUUGAAACUAUGAUCACAAAACUUGAGAGAACAAUUGCAGGAAAUUUUAUUGAAUGGAAAAUGAAUUGAAGAACAUUAAAAGUAUGAGGCAUCUAUAGACUCAAAGUAGCACUAAAACUAGUCUUAAUCUCCUAUAGAUUUGGAUUCCCAAAGAAACUAGAACUAGUAUUGUCCUAAACCAAAAGGACUAAAAUUAAGAAUUCAAAAUAAAAAUAGGGACUCCUAAAAAGAACAAAACCAAAAUUACCCCUGAAAGUUUCCUGCUUAAUGUACAUAAAAAAUAAGACUAAGGCCUAAUUAAUUUCCUAACUAAGUUGUAGCACUAGGGAUAGCUCAAUGGUAACUGCAUAUAUGUUGAACUUGCUCCCCAUUGCCCCGACAUAUGUAAUAAAAAAAAAAA